UACGUAGGGGGCAAGGCGUUGUCCGGAUUUAUUUGGGCGUAAAGAGCGUGUAGGCGGUUUGGUAGGUCCGUUGUGAAAACUCGAGGCUCAACCUCGAGACGCCGGCGGAAACCAUCAGGCUAGAGUCCGGAAGAGGAGAGUGGAAUUCCUGGUGUAGCGGUGAAAUGCGCAGAUAUCAGGAAGAACACCCGUGGCUAAGGCGGCUCUCUAGUACGGUACUGACGCUGAGACGCGAAAGCGUGGGGAGCGAACAGG
rnacentral:rRNA from 1 species